rnacentral:misc_RNA from 1 species
GGGUUUUUUAUUUUAUACUUCAAAUCUUGAAUUUAUUUUUUAUGUUUUUUAAAUGUUUAUUUUUUUGAAUGUUUGAUUUAAAAAAAUAUAAAAAAUAAAAUAGAUAUUGACAUGGAUUAAACAAAGAUAUAUAUUAUUCUAUGUUGCAUAAACAAAUUGGCAAAGUAG